GUAAGUGGUAUGCAUACUAGUAGUAAAAAAUUUACCAUAGUGGUAAAAUCACAAAUUUAUACAUAAAAGUAGUAUUGAAGUUUCCCUUACAUAUCAAUCUUAUAAUUCUCAAUGAAUUUUAAGAUAUACGAAGAUAAUAGAAAACCAUCUGCCCCUCAACGAUUUUAUGUACAAAAUCAUCACAUUAGAUAUUUUUAGCAAAUUGUGGUAUGAAGUGGUGGACCUAGAGAAUUAGUGGGUAAGGCACAUGCUGCAUACUCUAAAGAUUGAUAUCAUGAACUGCUCGGCGGAGAUUCUCACCCAUUUUGGCAAGAACAUUGUAGAAUCA
rnacentral:lncRNA from 1 species